rnacentral:rRNA from 1 species
GCUCAUUAAAUCAGUUAUCGUAUAUUUGAUAGUACCUACUACAUGGAUAACCGUGGUAAUUCUAGAGCUAAUACAUGCUUAAAAUCCCGACUUCGGAAGGGAUGUAUUUAUUAGAUUAAAAACCAAUGCCCUUCGGGGCUCACUGGUGAUUCAUAAUAACUUCUCGAAUCGCAUGGCCUUGUGCCGGCGAUGGUUCAUUCAAAUUUCUGCCCUAUCAACUUUCGACGGCUGGGUAUUGGCCAGCCGUGGUUACAACGGGUAACGGAGGGUUAGGGCUUGACCCCGGAGAAGGAGCCUGAGAAACGGCUACUACAUCCAAGGAAGGCAGCAGGCGCGCAAAUUACCCAAUCCCGAUACGGGGAGGUAGUGACAAUAAAUACUGAUACAGGGCUCUUUUGGGUCUUGUAAUUGGAAUGAGUACAAUUUAAAUCCCUUAACGAGGAACAAUUGGAGGGCAAGUCUGGUGCCAGCAGCCGCGGUAAUUCCAGCUCCAAUAGCGUAUAUUAAAGUUGUUGCAGUUAAAAAGCUCGUAGUUGAACCUUGGGCCUGGCUGGCCGGUCUGCCUCACCGCAUGCACUGGUCCGGCCGGGUCUUUCCCUCUGGGGAUCCGCAUGCCCUUCAUUGGGUGUGUCGGGGAACCAGGACUUUUACUGUGAAAAAAUUAGAGUGUUCAAAGCAGGCCUAUGCUCGAAUACAUUAGCAUGGAAUAAUAGAAUAGGACGUGUGGUUCUAUUUUGUUGGUUUCUAGGACCGCCGUAAUGAUUAAUAGGGACAGUCGGGGGCAUCAGUAUUCAAUCGUCAGAGGUGAAAUUCUUGGAUCGAUUGAAGACUAACUACUGCGAAAGCAUUUGCCAAGGAUGUUUUCAUUAAUCAGGAACGAAAGUUAGGGGAUCGAAAACGAUCAGAUACCGUUGUAGUCUUAACCAUAAACUAUGCCGACUAGGGAUCGGACGAUGUUAUUUCUUGACUCGUUCGGCACCUUACACGAAAGUAAAGUUUUGUA